GACAGAGGUGCCGAGCGUUAUCCGGAUUCACUGGGUUUAAAGGGUGCGUAGGCGGGUAGGUAAGUCAGUGGUGAAAUCCCCGAGCUCAACUUGGGAACUGCCGUUGAUACUAUCUAUCUGAAUGUUGUGGAGGUGAGCGGAAUAUGUCAUGUAGCGGUGAAAUGCUUAGAUAUGACAUAGAACACCAAUUGCGAAGGCAGCUCGCUACACAAUUAUUGACGCUGAGGCACGAAAGCGUGGGGGAUCAAACAGG
rnacentral:rRNA from 1 species